rnacentral:rRNA from 1 species
GACGAACGCUGGCGGCGUGCUUAACACAUGCAAGUCGAACGGUAAGGCCCUUCGGGGUACACGAGUGGCGAACGGGUGAGUAACACGUGGGUGAUCUGCCCUGCACUUCGGGAUAAGCCUGGGAAACUGGGUCUAAUACCGGAUAGGACCAUGGACUUCACGGUUUGUGGUGGAAAGCUUUUGCGGUGUGGGAUGGGCCCGCGGCCUAUCAGCUUGUUGGUGGGGUAAUGGCCUACCAAGGCUUCGACGGGUAGCCGGCCUGAGAGGGUGACCGGCCACACUGGGACUGAGACACGGCCCAGACUCCUACGGGAGGCAGCAGUGGGGAAUAUUGGACAAUGGGCGGAAGCCUGAUCCAGCAACGCCGCGUGAGGGAUGACGGCCUUCGGUUGGUAAACCUCUUUCAGUACCGACGAAGCGCCGACUGAUGGUGGUGACGGUAGGUACAGAGAAGCACGGCCAACUACGUGCCA